AGAAUCAACGCUGGCGGCGUGCCUAACACAUGCAAGUCGAACGAGAAAGUGGAGCAAUCCAUGAGUAAAGUGGCGCACGGGUGAGUAACACGUGACUAACCUACCCUUGAGUGGGGGAUAACCUAGGGAAACCUGGGCUAAUACCGCAUAAUACCUUCGGGUCAAAGGAGCAAUUCGCUUAAGGAGGGGGUCGCGGCCGAUUAGUUAGUUGGCGGGGUAAUGGCCCACCAAGACGAUGAUCGGUAUCCGGCCUGAGAGGGCGCACGGACACACUGGAACUGAAACACGGUCCAGACUCCUACGGGAGGCAGCAGUGGGGAAUUUGCGCAAUGGGGAAACCCUGACGCAGCAACGCCGCGUGGAGGAUGAAGUCCCUUGGGACGUAAACUCCUUUCGAUCGGGACGAUAAUGACGGUACCGGAAGAAGAAGCCCCGGCUAACUUCGUGCCAGCAGCCGC
rnacentral:rRNA from 1 species